GCGGGCUUACUUUAACACUAUCCUUGAAGCCUUUUGGGGUCACUCCACUUCUCCCAGGAGGUGUUAAUCAUAGCAUUCUCAGUGUUCCCUCUCUCCUUUUCAAUGAGGACAUCUUGCACAGAUUCAAAUUAAGCAUUCAUUCUCACAAGAGAGUGAUAAUACUUCUUUCUCUCUUCCCAAUUUCUGGCCUCAUUUUUCUCAAGAUUCAGGGCUCAGAAUAGUAUGUAAGUUUCUCACAAAUGACCAGAAUAGACUUUUCUCAUGAAAAUCCUAAUGACUAUCUAUUGAAGAAUAGUUCCAAGAAUUCUGUUGUGUAUCUCUUGAUGUUUUCUAUAGACAUUAAGACGUAUUUGUUUCUUACACAAAUCAUUUUUCAAUGAAAAAUGAGGUAAUGUAGCUUUAAUGGGCAUAUCCCUUUUGAUGUAUCAAGUGAUCCCAUGACUAUUAGCUCUUUUGCUAUUAGAAGAAAAGCCCACAGCAGAGUGGACUUUAUUAUCCUCAUUUUAGACUUGAAGAAACAGACUCCAAGGCAAAGAUUUGGCUCCGGUUAGGUGGCUGAGAAUUGCCAGAUUCUUGACUAAGACUCAUGUCUCUAGAUUUACAAGCAUCAUGCUAAGUUUCCCACCAUUCUACAAAAUCCUCAAAACAUUUACAUAAUGUCGAAAACUUUCCUAUUGGCUUUUUUUUCCCCCUCCAGAGACCCCACCUCAGAGUAAAGCCAAUUGAAAUCUCCAAAGCAUGUUGAAAUUGCUGGGAGUAGUGGUGUGCUGAAGUUGGCUCUGUUCACACGAACCAAUGGAUCCUGUCUCUCCCCACUUCCAAGUUCAGUGGUAUCAGGUUGGUAGCUUGAAAUCGGCCAUGCCAUAAAUGCUUACACUGUGGCAACUGGCAAAUGUUUCAAGUCAAAGAGAGCUGAUUGUCACCUCUCAAGAGCAUUGGUUGUCAAACAUCUAUCAGCACACUGCUGAUUAGAAAUCUUGGCACCCAGGCAAAAAUCCUGCAGCUGUGUUCUUCAUACUUAGCAUAUAUUCCAAUGCACUUGAUUUGAAAAACACCAAGUUCCUUUGUGACUCCUUUGGAGUAUGUCUUCUUGUAGUCUUGUGAACUCUAUGAGGGAGAGCAUCAAAGUGUCUUCUCCAAGAAGGAGAGCAAGGUCUGGGGAUAAAAUUUGCUACUUGUUUAAUUCUAUGGGUGUUUGUGAUCUUGAGAUUGCACUUUAAAUUAUACAUCGUUUUAAACAACUGUGUCAAAAGAGUUUUAAAAGUUUAAUGGUGCUGAACCAAGAAUAGGAAUUAAAAAUUGAAAGGAAAAUACAAAGCUAUACCUUGGUUUUUUUCUGCUUUAAAAAAUAAGUUUCCUUCUCAUUUGCAAUUAAGAUGCUCAGAAUUUGCAUAAAACAUGUAAAAUUAGAGAUAAUUGAACUACAGAUGCUAUAAAAGUGGCUUUUUCAUUUAAAAAUAAAUCAGAUGUCCACUAAAACGGUGUAAGAGCCAUUCCCCCCCUCUCUCCCUCCCCUGUUUGGGUCUCUGGUAUUUUUUACACUUUUAUAACUGAUUUUUAUUGCCAAACAAUCCGUGGAGUUUGUAGCAGCUCUGAGACGGCAGCUGGUCCAGGCAGGCUUGUUAACUCUGGCACGUUAAGGACCCUUCAGAAGAUUUCAAAUCCAGCCUUAGGAUUCAGGGUUUCCCCUGGGCACAUCACAUUUAAGAGGGCUAAACUGAAAAAGAAUACACUAACCAUCAAAGUAGCCACAAGAGAUGGUUCUAGACUGAUGUUUGUAUUCAAUUGAAAGACCUUCUUCCCAAGAGUCUUCGGUAUACCAUGGAAAUCUCAAGCAGAGGACCCAAGGCAUUUUUUUUGACCAGCCUGAUUCUAAUUGCAUCAAAGCACUGAAAAGAAACCCACGUGGCUUUUUUGACAUGUCCUGGACUCUACUUACUCUGAAGUGCUUUCAAAAGCCACCUCCCUCAUGUGAAGACUCCGGUGCAGAAUUAGGUUUAUCAGGAAGAGUAAGAGGCCAUGAAGCCCCAAGACUCUGAAUUAUGAUGUUUGAACACAGACGGUGUUAGAUACAAGUGAGGCGGGUACCACACGAAUUUGUCCUGAUGGCAAGCAAACUACUUUGCACCCAGAUCAAUCAGCCUUUGGGAAACUUGUGGAAUGAUGAUGACACUUGUCUCAAGACAAGGUAGGUUGCUUCUAGAACAGAUCCAAAAUAACAUGCACAUUUUCAUAAUAUCACCAUCACUAUCUCCUAUUGAAUGCUUAACAGACUCAUUUUUUUUUUUAACAUUGCAUAAUCAUCACAGUGGGUGG